AAAUUUGCAAGGAGCUUUUGAUAUUUUUUUUCACUUUUAGUUGGUAAUUAAAAAAGAAUGUUUGCAAGAAUUUUAUAAUUGUAAACUAAAACACCAUUUGCUUGUUCAAUAUAAAAAAAAAAACAAAAAAAAACACCACUUGCUUUACUUAAAGAGUACUUCGAAUACUAGCUAAUUCAACGCAUUUGGAACCAAAUAGCACUAUUUAAUUUUGUAUUUUGU
rnacentral:lncRNA from 1 species